rnacentral:rRNA from 1 species
CUUUCUUUGCUGGCGACCGGCGCACGGGUGAGUAACACGUAUCCAACCUGCCCUUUACUCGGGGAUAGCCUUUCGAAAGAAAGAUUAAUACCCGAUGGUAUAAUCAGACCGCAUGGUUUGAUUAUUAAAGAAUUUCGGUUAUCGAUGGGGAUGCGUUCCAUUAGGCAGUUGGUGAGGUAACGGCUCACCAAACCUUCGAUGGAUAGGGGUUCUGAGAGGAAGGUCCCCCACAUUGGAACUGAGACACGGUCCAA